rnacentral:rRNA from 1 species
AUCGAUAAUCCACGUUAAAUUUUACUUUAAUUUAAAACUUAUAUACCGCCAUCUUAAGAAUUAAUUAAUAUAUAUUUCUCUCAAAAAUAAAUAAAAAGUUAGGUCAAGGUGUAAUUUAUAUUAAAGAAUAAGAUGAAUUACAUUAAACACAAUUUAAAGAUUAUUAAUAAAUAUAUUUAUAUAAAUAAGAAUUUAAAAGUAAUAUUUAAAUAAUACUACAAUAUGAUAUAGAUAAUAAAUGUGUACACAUCGCCC